rnacentral:piRNA from 1 species
UUUUAUUAAAUUUGCAAUGUU